rnacentral:rRNA from 1 species
UACGGGGGGGGGCAAGCGUUGUUCGGAAUUACUGGGCGUAAAGGGCUCGUAGGCGGCCAACUCAGUCGGACGUGAAAUCCCUCGGCUUAACCGGGGAACUGCGUCCGAUACUGGAUGGCUCGAGUGUGGGAGAGGGAUGCGGAAUUCCAGGUGUAGCGGUGAAAUGCGUAGAUAUCUGGAGGAACACCGGUGGCGAAGGCGGCAUCCUGGACUACUACUGACGCUGAGGAGCGAAAGCCAGGGGGAGCAAAACGGG